rnacentral:rRNA from 1 species
UACGUAGGGUGCGAGCGUUGUCCGGAAUUACUGGGCGUAAAGAGCUCGUAGGUGGUUUGUCGCGUUGUUCGUGAAAACUCACAGCUUAACUGUGGGCGUGCGGGCGAUACGGGCAGACUGGAGUACUGCAGGGGAGACUGGAAUUCCUGGUGUAGCGGUGAAAUGCGCAGAUAUCAGGAGGAACACCGGUGGCGAAGGCGGUUCUCUGGGCAUUACCUGACGCUGAGGAGCGAAAGUGUGGGGAGCAAACAGG